rnacentral:tRNA from 1 species
GAUGGAUGGCGGAACUGGUAGACGCACAGGACUUAAAAUCCUGUAUCAGAAAUGGUGUGAGGGUUCGAUUCCCUCUCUAUCC